rnacentral:rRNA from 1 species
UGGGGAAUAUUGGACAAUGGACCGAGAGUCUGAUCCAGCAAUUCUGUGUGCACGAUGAAGUUUUUCGGAAUGUAAAGUGCUUUCAGUUGGGAAGAAAGAAAUGACGGUACCAACAGAAGAAGUGACGGCUAAAUACGUGCCAGCAGCCGCGGUAAUACGUAUGUCACGAGCGUUAUCCGGAUUUAUUGGGCGUAAAGCGCGUCUAGGUGGUUAUAUAAGUCUGAUGUGAAAAUGCAGGGCUCAACUCUGUAUUGCGUUGGAAACUGUAUAACUAGAGUACUGGAGAGGUAAGCGGAACUACAAGUGUAGAGGUGAAAUUCGUAGAUAUUUGUAGGAAUGCCGAUGGGGAAGCCAGCUUACUGGACAGAUACUGACGCUGAAGCGCGAAAGCGUGGGUAGCAAACAGGAUUAGAUACCCUGGUAGUCCACGCUGUAAACGAUGAUUACUAGGUGUUGGGGGUCGAACCUCAGCGCCCAAGCAAACGCGAUAAGUAAUCCGCCUGGGGAGUACGUACGCAAGUAUGA